AUGAAGUUGGAAUCGCUAGUAAUCGCGGAUCAGCAUGCCGCGGUGAAUAUGUACCCGGGCCCUGUACACACCGCCCGUCACACCCUGGGAAUUGGUUUCGCCCGAAGCAUCGGACCAAUGAUCACCCAUGACUUCUGUGUACCACUAGUGCCACAAAGGCUUUUGGUGGUCUUAUUGGCGCAUACCACGGUGGGGUCUUCGACUGGGGUGAAGUCGUAA
rnacentral:lncRNA from 1 species